UGAUACACGCAUGUGUAGAAAUGAAAAUUUCUAUCAGCCGUAUUCACCAUCCCGAAUUUGUAGAUCGUCAAUCAAAAGGAAAACACAGAUUUCUAGCACUCGGAAGAAAGCGAAAAACAUGAACAAUCCUUAACAAUACUGUCCAUGUAUAUUUAGAUAACUUUUAAAAAUAUAUAUAAAGCUUUACACUGUAACAGUCAGAUUCCGGUAAUAGUUACAAGACUGUGACGUCACACUCGAGUAAGCCGUCUGACGCGUCUGACGUAUGCAAGACAGCGAAUGUGAAAGUACAUAGAAACUCUACAGACUGAUGAGAAUUACUUUAGACGGGGUACGUCAACGAAUAGGCACGACAGCGAAAAUACGGAAGUCACUUCGGGGACGUGUCGCAGAAUCGCAUAACUCUACACGAGAUUAAAAGAAAGAAAGAAAAGACAAUGAAGACAACCAUGUAAAAACAAAUUCAAUCAAUUAAAUUAUCAGCAGAUUGAAA